UACGUAGGGAGCAAGCGUUGUCCGGAAUCAUUGGGCGUAAAGCGCGCGUAGGUGGCCUCAUAAGUCCGUUGUGAAAGUCAAAGGCUCAACCUUUGAAAGCCGAUGGGUACUGUGAGACUAGAGUACGGAAGAGGCGAGUGGAAUUCCUGGUGUAGCGGUGGAAUGCGCAGAUAUCAGGAGGAACACCAAUAGCGAAGGCAGCUCGCUGGGACGUUACUGACACUGAGGCGCGAAAGCGUGGGGAGCGAACAGG
rnacentral:rRNA from 1 species